GUGUUCACUUUCCCAACACAUAUACUAAAAUUGGAACAAUGCAGAGAUUAUUAGGAUGGCUGCUGCAUAAGGAUGACACACUAAUUCUAGAAGUGUUCCAUACUUUG
ensembl:snRNA U6 U6 spliceosomal RNA